rnacentral:rRNA from 1 species
GAUGAACGCUGGCGGCGUGCCUAAUACAUGCAAGUCGAGCGAACGGACGAGAAGCUUGCUUCUCUGAUGUUAGCAGCGGACGGGAGAGUAACACGUGGAUAACCUACCUAUAAGACUGUGAUAACUUCGGGAAACCGUAGCUAAUACCGGAUAAUAUUUUGAACCGCAUUGUUCAAAAGUGAAAGACGGUCUUUCUGUCACUUAUAGAUGGAUCCGCGCUGCAUUAGCUAGUUGUUAAGGUAACGGCUUACCAAGGCAACGAUGCAUAGCCGACCUGAGAGGGUGAUCGGCCAGACUGGAACUGAGACACGGUACAGACUCCUACGGGAGGCAGCAGUAGGGAAUCUUCCGCAAUGGGCGAGAGCCUGACGGAGCAACGCCGCGUGAGUGAUGAAGGUCUUCGGAUCGUAGAACUCUGUUAUUAGGGAAGAACAUAUGUGUAAGUAACUGUGCACAUCUUGACGGUACCUAAUCAGAAAGCCACGGCUAACUACGUG